AGUGAACGCUGGCGGUAGGCCUAACACAUGCAAGUCGAACGGCAGCACAGUAAGAGCUUGCUCUUACGGGUGGCGAGUGGCGGACGGGUGAGGAAUACAUCGGAAUCUACUUUUUCGUGGGGGAUAACGUAGGGAAACCUACGCUAAUACCGCAUACGACCUACGGGUGAAAGCAGGGGAUCUUCGUACCUUGCGCGAUUGAAUGAGCCGAUGUCGGAUUAGCUAGUUGGCGGGGUAAAGGCCCACCAAGGCGACGAUCCGUAGCUGGUCUGAGAGGAUGAAGAGCCACACUGGAACUGAGACACGGUCCAGACUCCUACGGGAGGCAGCAGUGGGGAAUAUUGGACAAUGGGCGCAAGCCUGAUCCAGCCAUACCGCGUGGGUGAAGAAGGCCUUCGGGUUGUAAAGCCCUUUUGUUGGGAAAGAAAAGCAGCAGGUUAAUACCCCGCUGUUCUGACGGUACCCAAAGAAUAAGCACCGGCUAACUUCGUG
rnacentral:rRNA from 1 species